CUAGCGUUGUUCGGAAUUACUGGGCGUAAAGCGCGCGUAGGCGGCUUUGUAAGUUAGAGGUGAAAGCCCAGGGCUCAACCCUGGAAUUGCCUUUAAGACUGCAUCGCUUGAACAUCGGAGAGGUAAGUGGAAUUCCGAGUGUAGAGGUGAAAUUCGUAGAUAUUCGGAAGAACACCAGUGGCGAAGGCGACUUACUGGACGAUUGUUGACGCUGAGGUGCGAAAGCGUGGGGAGCAAACAGG
rnacentral:rRNA from 1 species